UCGCUGUGAUGAAUGAUUAUUAAACAUUCGUAGUUUCCACCAAAAGUUUAGCUAAUGAUGGCCUAACUUCCUUGGAUGUCUGAGCGA
rnacentral:snoRNA from 1 species